rnacentral:rRNA from 1 species
UUAAGCAUAUCAAUAAGCGGAGGAAAAGAAACCAACAGGGAUUGCCUCAGUAGCGGCGAGUGAAGCGGCAAGAGCUCAGAUUUGAAAUCUCACCUAGUGUGCGAGUUGUAAAUUGCAGGUUGGAGUCUCGGGUUAGACGUGUGUGCAAGUCCCUUGGAACAGGGUGCCACUGAGGGUGAGAGCCCCGUAGCGUGCAUGUCGAUACCUGUGAGGCCCUUCUGACGAGUCGAGUUGUUUGGGAAUGCAGCUCUAAGUGGGUGGUAAAUUCCAUCUAAGGCUAAAUAUUGGCGAGAGACCGAUAGCGAACAAGUACUGUGAAGGAAAGAUGAAAAGCACUUUGAAAAGAGAGUGAAACAGCACGUGAAAUUGUUGAAAGGGAAGGGUAUUGGGCUCGACAUGGGAUUUACGCAUCGUUGCCUCUCGUGGGCGGCGCUCUGGGUUUUUCCUGGGCCAGCAUCGGUUUUCGUUGCAGGAUAAGGACAAUUGGAAUGUGGCUCCUCGGAGUGUUAUAGCCUUUUGUAGAUGCUGCGUAUGGGGACCGAGGGCUGCGGCGGACUCGUUUCGUCUCGGAUGCUGGCACAACGGCGCAAUACCGCCCG